rnacentral:lncRNA from 1 species
GUUAUGACAGUGCUAGAAAACAUAGCAGGUGUAUUUUUUUACAUUCACAACAGCAAUGUAUGAGAGACACAGUUGCUUCACAUUCCUAUUAGCAUUUGACAUUGUCACUUUAAAUUUUGUACAUUUUAACUCAGUUCUGUGAUGAUACUUAUUUAAUUUUCAUUUCCCCAAUGGCUAGUGGUGUUGAACAUAUUUUCAUGUACUUGUUUGACAUCUGGUGAGAUGUCUGUUCAUAUCUUUUAUCAAUUUUUCAGUUUAGCUUUUUAUUGUUUUUAUUAUUAGAGAGUUCUUCAUGUAUUCUGGAUGGAGUCCUUUGUUAAAUAUGUGUAAAUAUUUUUCUCUACAUUGGCAGCUUGUCCCCAUCCUUUUGACCACAGCAAGUUUUUGGUUUUAUUGAAGUCUAAUUUAGUGAUCCUUUUUUCUUUUGUGGAUUGUUUUUGGUAUCAUGGCUAGCAACUGUUUAUGUAGUCUAGGUCUUAGAGAUUUUCUUUUGUAUUCCUGAGAUAAUUUUUGUAACAAUGAAAUUUAGGUUGUGCUUCCGUUUUUUUUUUUUAACCUAUGGAUGUCCAAUUGUUCCAGCACCAUUUUUUGAAACUACUUAGUUGUUUUUAUUGCUUCUUUGCCUUUGCUCAACUAGAACUGUCCAUACUUGUGUAAGCCUUGCUGGGGUUAGUAUUAUGUUCUGUUGGUACAAAACUUCCCAUCAC